rnacentral:rRNA from 1 species
GAUGAACGCUGGCGGCGUGCUUAACACAUGCAAGUCGAACGGUGAAGGCGGAGCUUGCUCUGCUGGAUCAGUGGCGAACGGGUGAGUAACACGUGAGCAAUCUGCCCCUGACUCUGGGAUAAGCGCUGGAAACGGCGUCUAAUACUGGAUACGAGCUGCGAAGGCAUCUUCAGCAGCUGGAAAGAACUUCGGUCAGGGAUGAGCUCGCGGCCUAUCAGCUUGUUGGUGAGGUAACGGCUCACCAAGGCGUCGACGGGUAGCCGGCCUGAGAGGGUGACCGGCCAACACGGGAAUGAGGAAAGGCCCAGACUCCUAACGGAGGGAGGAGUGGGGGAUAAUGCACCAUGGGGGGAAGCCUGAUGCAGCAACGCCGGGUGAGGGACGAAGGCCCUCGGGUUGUAAACCUCUUUUAGCAGGGAAGAAGCGAAAGUGACGGUACCUGCAGAAAAAGCGCCGGCUAACUACGUG